rnacentral:rRNA from 1 species
UACGGAGGGGGCUAGCGUUGUUCGGAAUUACUGGGCGUAAAGCGCACGUAGGCGGAUCAGCAAGUUAGGGGUGAAAUCCCGGGGCUCAACCCCGGAACUGCCUUUAAACUGUUGGUCUGGAGGUCGAGAGAGGUGAGUGGAAUUCCGAGUGUAGAGGUGAAAUUCGUAGAUAUUCGGAGGAACACCAGUGGCGAAGGCGGCUCACUGGCUCGAUACUGACGCUGAGGUGCGAAAGCGUGGGGAGCAAACAGG